rnacentral:sRNA from 1 species
UACCCUCGGCAGCAGGAGUGUGGGAUUGCUGUCCUGGAGCAGAUGGAGAACCACGGUUCCUUUGCCCAAAGACUCAACAGGUGCAGCAGAUCCCCCCCAGCCCCACAUCGUAGGAAUCCAGAGUCCUGAUCAGCAGGCUGCCCUGGCCCGCCACAAUCCAGCCCGGCCUGUCUUUGUUGAGGGCCCCUUCUC